rnacentral:rRNA from 1 species
AUACGGAGGGUGCGAGCGUUGUUCGGAAUCACUGGGCGUAAAGGUCGCGCAGGCGGUCUGUCAAGUCAGAUGUGAAAGCCCACGGCUCAACCGUGGACGUGCAUCUGAAACUGGCAGACUCGAGUACCGGAAGGGAAAGUGGAAUUCCCGGUGUAGAGGUGAAAUUCGUAGAUAUCGGGAGGAAUACCGGAGGCGAAGGCGACUUUCUGGACGGAUACUGACGCUGAGGCGCGAAAGCGUGGGGAGCGAACAGGAUUAGAAACCCUAGUAGUCC